rfam:Nematostella vectensis strain CH2 x CH6 NEMVEscaffold_8823_Cont55099, whole genome shotgun sequence.
AACAGGAUGGCCGAGUAGUUAAGGCGUUGGACUUAAGUUCCAAUGUACGAAUGUACGCGUGGGUUCGAACCCCACUCCUGGUA